rnacentral:rRNA from 1 species
AGAACGAACGCUGGCGGCAUGCCUAACACAUGCAAGUCGAACGAGACCUUCGGGUCUAGUGGCGCACGGGUGCGUAACGCGUGGGAAUCUGCCCUUGGGUUCGGAAUAACAGCGAGAAAUUGCUGCUAAUACCGGAUGAUGACGUAAGUCCAAAGAUUUAUCGCCCAAGGAUGAGCCCGCGUAGGAUUAGCUUGUUGGUGAGGUAAGAGCUCACCAAGGCGACGAUCCUUAGCUGGUCUGAGAGGAUGAUCAGCCACACUGGGACUGAGACACGGCCCAGACUCCUACGGGAGGCAGCAGUGGGGAAUAUUGGACAAUGGGCGAAAGCCUGAUCCAGCAAUGCCGCGUGAGUGAUGAAGGCCUUAGGGUUGUAAAGCUCUUUACCCGGAUGAUAAUGACAGUACCGGAGAAUAAGCUCCGGCUAACCCCGUGCCAGUAGCCGC